CUGCUGCAUGGGGACGUCCAUCUCGAAGUGUGUGAGGAGAAGCGCAGAGCCGGAGUAUAAACUUAGUGAUUUAUUUACGUGUGGGGGAGACUGUUAUACAGGGUGUAUGCAGGAGUCACAAGAGCCCCCCCUGGAUGAUAUUCUAAUAGGAAAAUAAAGACAGGAUCUUUCCAAUCUCUGAUUCUACAUUUUAAUUCAAUGAAUUGAAAUAUCAGGUUUUUACAUUAGAUGGAUAGCCAAUGGGGAGUGCCCAUGAUGUUAAGAAUCUCACUUCAAAAAAGAUGACUUCAUAUGACAAAGCGGAAUAAACUUUCCACUGGGCUUCUUAAUUUUCCUUCAAAACCAAGCUGAUGCAAAGAAAAUGAGACACCUAUUCACCUCCAAAUAUCUUUGGGUGGAACUUCUAUCCAAUGGGACUUGAGAUUUAUUGCUGUCAUACCGAGA